AUCUAUGGCCAUGCCACCCUGAACAUGCCCAAUCUCGUCUGAUCUCGGAAGCUAAGCAGGGUCGGGCCUGGUUAAUACUUGGAUGGGAGACUACCUAGGAAGACUAGUUGCUGUAGGCA
rnacentral:rRNA from 1 species